rnacentral:rRNA from 1 species
AGCGAACGCUGGCGGCAGGCCUAACACAUGCAAGUCGAGCGCCCGUAGCAAUACGGGAGCGGCAGACGGGAGAGUAACACGUGGGAACGUACCCUUCAGUUCGGAACAACCCAGGGAAACUUGGGCUAAUACCGAAUACGUCCGUAAGGAGAAAGAUUUAUCGCUGAAGGAUCGGCCCGCGUCUGAUUAGCUAGUUGGUGAGGUAAUGGCUCACCAAGGCGACGAUCAGUAGCGGUCUGAGAGGAUGAUCAGCCUCAUUGGGACUGAGACACGGCCCAAACUCCUACGGGAGGCAGCAGUGGGGAAUAUUGGACAAUGGGCGCAAGCCUGAUCCAGCCAUGCCGCGUGGAUGAUGAAGGCCUUAGGGUUGUAAAGUCCUGUCAUUUGAGAACAAGGUGCACCGGUUAACUGCCGGUGCAUUGAUAGUAUCAGAAGAGGAAGAGACGGCUAACUCUGUGCC